rnacentral:rRNA from 1 species
GCUUGCGGCGUGCCUAACACAUGCAAGUACGAACGAGAAAGCCCUGCUUGCAGGGUGAGUAAAGUGGCGAACGGGUGAGUAAUACAUGGGUAAUCUGCCAUUGGGACAGGGAUAACAUCCCGAAAGGGGUGCUAAUACCUGAUACGAUAAUGAUUCCAAAUGGAGUUGUUAUGAAAGGUGACCUCUUCAUGAAAGUUGCUGCCCUUUGAUGAGCCCGUGCACCAUUAGCUUGUUGGUAGGGUAAUGGCCUACCAAGGCUAAGAUGGUUAGCUGGUCUGAGAGGAUGAUCAGCCACACUGGAACUGAGACACGGUCCAGACUCCUACGGGAGGCAGCAGUGGGGAAUAUUGCGCAAUGGGGGAAACCCUGACGCAGCAACGCCGCGUGAGUGAUGAAGGCCCUUGGGUCGUAAAGCUCUGUCAGGUGGGAAGAGAAAGGACGGUGCCACCAAAGGAAGCACCGGCUAACUCCGUGCCAGCAGCCGCGGUAAUACGGAGGGUGCUAGCGUUGUUCGGAAUUACUGGGCGUAAAGUGCGUGUAGGCGGUCUAUUAAGUCAGGUGUGAAAGCCCUCGGCUCAACCAAGGAAUUGCGCCUGAAACUGGUAGACUUGA